AUGAAAGGUAUCUUGUCAUAAUGCAGAUUCGAAUUCAGUGGGUCUGGUGUAGGAUUUAAGAUUCUGCCUUUCAGACAAGCUUCCAGAGAAAACUAAU
rnacentral:miRNA from 1 species